rnacentral:rRNA from 1 species
GACGAACGCUGGCGGCGUGCCUAAUACAUGCAAGUCGAGCGGACGAAUCGAAAGCUUGCUUUUGAUUCGUUAGCGGCGGACGGGUGAGUAACACGUGGGCAACCUGCCCUGUAGACGGGGAUAACACCGAGAAAUCGGUGCUAAUACCGGAUAACACGAAAUGUCGCAUGACGUUUCGUUGAAAGACGGCGCAAGCUGUCGCUACAGGAUGUGCCCGCGGUGCAUUAGCUAGUUGGUGAGGUAACGGCUCACCAAGGCGACGAUGCGUAGCCGACCUGGGAGGGUGAUCGGCCACACGGGGACUGAGACACGGCCCAGACUCCUACGGGAGGCAGCAGUAGGGAAUCUUCCGCAAUGGACGAAAGUCUGACGGAGCAACGCCGCGUGAGCGAGGAAGGCCUUCGGGUCGUAAAGCUCUGUUGUUAGGGAAGAACAGGUAGCGCAGUAACUGGCGUUACCGUGACGGUACCUAACGAGAAAGCCACGGCUAACUACGUG